rnacentral:sRNA from 1 species
GCUGGGUGUGGUGGUGCACACCUGUAAUCCCAGCUACUCGGGAGGCUGAGGCAGGAGAAUUGCUUGAACCCAGGAGGCAGAGGUUGCAGUGAGCCAAGAUUGUGCCACUGCACUCCAGCCUGGGCAACAGAGUGAGACUUUGUCUCAA